CAGAAUCGGGUCAGUGGAGGCCCACUCCAGCAGUGACCAAAUGCGAAAAGGGCCAGGAGCGAAGCUCAACGGUCACCCUAGCCGCCUGGUUGUUGGGUGACGGAAAUGAAAAGUCUGCCAACAAUAAUAGUUGGUUUGCGGGCUUUAAUGAAAAAAAUAGAUGAAAGUGAAAAGCCAGCCUUGGGAACUGCGAAACGUGGCAUUCAAUAUUUUAAAACAAAAAAAAAGCUGGUAGUACCGAUGAACACAACAUAAAGGGAAUAAAAAAUCUGAAAAAAAGACAAAAAGAAGGUAACGUAACCAG
rnacentral:lncRNA from 1 species